UUUUUUUUUUUUUUUUUUUUUUUUUCUUUCCUCUAAAGUCUCCAUUCAGAUCCUAACUAUUCCUGUAGUCCUUCUUAAAUCCCUUCAGCCAGGGUGACUUUUAACCUCUGUUGAUAGGUCAGUUCUAAGAGUCAUUAGAGCCUGUGUUGUAUUAGAAAUAUUACCGUAUUUAUUUGGAGUGCAAAGAAUUGUGUUUAUUUCUUUUUUGUAACUGAUAAGGACUCAAUAGCUAGUUAUUGAAUUAUAGGCGAUUAGGGAGCAUUCCAUGUGCUAGAUCCCUCACCGUCACCUCUUAUAAAAGAGGCAAGUCUCAAGUACAAGUUUAUAAAUAUCUUGUAUUGAACCUUCCAGGAGUGACCUCAUUUAGAGAUAGUAACAUCUGACUUAGCUUUUGAGACAUUCUUUACCGUUCAGUGAAUAUCAGGUAAUACUUAAACUCGCUACACGAGUUUGGCAAAAAUAUGUUUAUAUGGCAACAUCAGGGAGUUCUUAUGACUUACUGGGGGGGUAUUUAGAGCAUUAAUACUCAAUUUCUAUGGUGGUGGGGAGUGAGUAAUAAAAUCACUAUAUGUGGCAUAUCUCAAUGUAUCUCUGCUUUUAUCUGAGAUAUCUUGCAGACUCAUUGUCCACUUGGCCAUUUUCUUCUGACCAGGUAUCUUGCUAGGCUAAAUGUGGUGGUCUGGGAGUUCCCAGGCUAGGGGUUGAAUCGGAGCUGUAGCCACCGGCCUACGCCAGAGCCACAGCAACGCGGGAUCCGAGCUGGGUCUGCAACCUACACCACAGCUCACGGCAACGCCAGAUCGUUAACCCACUGAGCAAGGGCAGGGACGGAACCCGCAACCUCAUGGUUCCUAGUCGGAUUCGUCAUCCACUGCGCCACGACGGGAACUCCCAUAUUGGAACUUUCUAGAACACUCUCCUCCUAGGACAGUUUAGAGGCGGUCCUCAAGCUGGAUGAGUCAUACCACACUUCUAAUAACUUAAUGUGUAGGUCUUAUUUAUUGUGUUCUUCACCACCUAGUUUGAUGUACAUUUGGGCUCAGUGAGGGUAGUAGAAUUAUGUCUGUAUUUAUUUAUGUAUGCGCAUAGAUAUUUAGGGCCGAACCCGAGGCCUAUGGAGGUUCCCAGGCCAGGGGUCUAAUCGGAGCUGUACCUGCCGGCCUACACCAUAGCCACAGCAACUGGAAUCCAAGCUGCGUCUGCGGCCUACACCACAGCUCAUGGCACCACCAGAUCCUGAACCCACUGAGCGAGGCUAGGGAUCGAACCUGCGUCCUGAUGGUUGCUAGUGAGGUUCAUUAACCGCUGAGCCCCGAUGGGAACGCCUGUUUUCAUUUAUUAUACAGUACCUGGUAUUAGGUUUCUAGAAAAGUUAAAGAUUUUUUUUUCUUUUUUUGCCUUUUUGCUUUGACGUCUUCCUGUUGGUGUUUACAUCUAACACUAAAUUAAAAUUCAUGUGUUAACAUAUAUUAAAAUUCUUAGCAGUAAGAGCAUAACCUGAAUUGGAAAGUUGGUCCGGAGUCAAACAUUCAAAAAGUGUAAUUCCAGUGACCUUGAAUCCACUAAACUGAGCCAGGGACAAAAAUUCUCUCAACAGGGAGCAGGAAUAAAGGAAAAGAGGGAAGCAAGGAUCCAGGAGAAAAAGGAUCGUUUAAGUGGGGUGGAGGGAAGUUUCAGUUAAGCCACAGAUACUGUAGUUGAUGUUUGCAUAUUGGUCAGGUUUUCCCUGAUGUGUAGAAACUGUGGACACAGUUUUGCACCAGACUGAAUUAUCACUAUUUAAACCAUCAGCAUCCAUCUUUGGGAAACUUACAUUUUAGUUUAAAGAUUAUUGUAAGAAUUCUAGCUGAAACAGGGAAAUGUCACUGUCAUUUAUAAAGUGUAGUUCUUGGACUUUUUUUUUUCUCUUUUCUUUUUUCUUCCUUUCUUUGAUUUUUAGGGCCAAAUACUCAGCAUAUGGGUUCCCAGGCUAGGGGUUGAAUUGGAGCCUUAGCUGCUGGCCUACACCACAGCCACAGCAAUGUGGGAUCCAAGCUGUGUCUGCAGCCUACACCACAGCUCACAGCAAUGCUGGAUCCCUAACCCACUAAGCGAGGCCAGGGAUUGAACCUCUGUCCUCAUGAUUACUAAUUUGGUUCCCUACCAUUGAGCCACAAUGGGAAUUCCAUAUUGUUGGACUUUUAAAUUAAUAGUGAGAUAUUAACUGAAGAGGAUUGAAUUGAAUAAGCAUCUCUGAUUUGUUAGCCAUAAUGUGAUUUCUGCUUUUCCUACUAUUACUUUUGAUAAGACGAAUGUAUUCUUUCUUCAUGAAAUAUUUAAGAUAGUGAAUUAAUUAUCCUUUUUUGAGAUGUCCCUUGCUUUUGUUUGAGGUUCAGAAUUAAUAUAAAAACAUUGAAAUCAUAAUUGCAUUUUAAUUUGAGACCUUGAUCUCCUACAACUCUAUGUAACAGCUUAUUCUUUGAAAAUAUAGAAGGAAACCAGAUGCGCAGUGUUCUCAGUUUAUUUACUAAUCUUGUCAGUUUCUACAGCUGCUAACUUGUUCAUUUACAGACAUUAUGGGUUUGUUUGGAUUAAAAUGAAGUAACAUGUGUAAAGCACCCUUACCUAGUUUUUUCACACGUAGGCCCUUAGUAAUUAGUGGUCUUUAUUUUUAUUAUUAUUGGGCACUUAAUUUUAGAUUUCUUUUUUUUUCACCCUUGUGCUUAUUUUUGUGGGUUUUUUUCCUAAACGAUUUUUCAUUUUUCCAUUAUAACUGGUUUACAGUGUUCUGUCAAUUUUCUCCUGUACAGCAAAGUGACCCAGUCACACUUACAUUCUUUUUCUUAUAUUAUCGUCCAUCAUGCUCCAUCAUAAGUGACCAGAUAGAGUUCCCAAUGCUAUACAACAGGCUCUCAUUGCUUAUCCAUUCCAAAUGCAAUAGUUUGCAUCUAUUAACCCUGGACUCCCAGUCCAUCCCACUCCCUCCCCCUCCCCCUUGGCAACCACAAGUCUGUUCUCCAAGUCCAGACUUUUGGACUCCUAGGCAACCAUUUCUUCGGGUGCUCUGAACCAAUUAUGAAUUCUACCCUCCCAUAUUUGUAGUUUUAGACUGCCUUACCCACUGUGAAGAAAAAAGCCUAUUGGUGGGGUGGGGCUUUUUGACUUGUGUGUGUAAGUCCUUUUAGAGUUACUGGAUGUUCUGGAAUGUGAAGGAUUAAGCUUUGUGGCAUGUUCUAUAUGGUCAUCCAUAGUGACCACAGUGAGUUGGAAUGUUGUCUUGUGACUAACUUUGAAAUGCGUUACUUGCUGUACAGAGGAUGUUGAUCCGAAUAAAUUGCUUAUUAUCCUUCUUAAAUGAAGUAACAUGUCAAUCGGUGUCAACCUUACCCAACACAAUACUUUCUUUCAUAAACAAGGGGAGGACGCAGUCCCAUGAUAAGGUCCGGGGAUGAAGCCAGGCGCUGCUGUGCAAUUCAGAGGGUAUUCGAUGGCUCCCGGCCUGGAACCUGUCACAGUGGGAAGUCAUGGCUCGGAAGCCUGCAGCGAAAUUAGUCGUGUUUAUUAAGCCUUAAUAUGACACUUAAGUGGUUCUUCUAUCAGAGUUCCCUAGUGGCCUAGCGAUUAAGGAUCUGGCGUUGUCUCUGCUGUGGCUCAGGUUCGAUCCCUGGCCCAGGAACUUCUGCAUGCCUCCGUUGCAGCCAAAAAAAAAAAAGUCAUGAAAAUAAAGGCUCUUCUAUCACCAGUCAGCCAGCUCCCCAAAGAGACAAAAAUCCAUUCAUGAGUUGUAGGUGCUGGAGCACCACUUCUUUGGCAGGUCUUUCCUGCCACAUACAUUGGUGACCGUGUCUUUUGUACCCAAUCUUAGCCUGAAUAUGUUUAGGUAACGUCUCUCAAAGCAUCUAAAAAGCGUUUGUCCCCUGUGUCUCCCAGCUGGGCUGUAAACUCCUGGUUGGUGGUGGUUGUGUCUGUGUGAGUGUUGCUUAGUGCAGAUUCUGUGAGUUCUGGGUUGAUCCUCAGUCUGUGUUAAGUUCAUGUCUCGCUAUGACUUGUGGAGACGCCUCGACAUUAACUGGUCCAGUUAUGUGGUUUGACGUCAUCUCCAAUUCCUUAAUGAAAAACCUCUCUCUAGAAAGGCUAAUUCUGCCCUGUAUCCUGUAUUCUCAUUCUUUUUUUUUUUGCUUUUUCUCUUCUUCCAAUGCAAAUUCUUGAUUUCCUUUAUUUCUUUCAAGGAACAAUUCACAUCUUUUUUUCCAUGAAACUUUUUAAAGCUAUGUUUAAUUUUUGGUAGCAUUAAUUAAAUUCAGAAAGCCGAAAAAAGAGGGAAGUGUUAACUAGAACUGGACAUUGGGAAUUGGCCUUUUAAGUAACCAAAACAUAUUUGUAAACAUUUUCCUCUUAAAAAUCAGUAGUUAUGUUAAUUUUGGUAAAGUUCUAGAUUUUUUUCCAAAUAAUUUAAUUCAGAAUUGCAGAGAAAUGGGAAUUUUGGGUAAAGCUUAUGGAAAGAAAGGGUUGUGUUAUAAUUUUGAGGUUGUCGUGAGAAAAGUGUCUUUUAUUGCAUUAUAUGGCAUUUUAUAACAUUAUAUAUAAGAAUUGACCUUAUUUUCCAUAUUUGUAAAAGGUUUUAUUGGGCUUUAAAAGGGGAAGUCUUGAAGUUCCUAUUGUGGUUCCGCAGGUUAAGAACCCAGCUAGUAUCUAUAAGAAUUCGAGUUGAAUCCCUGGCCUCGCUUGGGUUGGGUCAAGGAUCCGGCGUUGCUGUGAGCUGUGGUGUAGGUCACACAUGCUGCUCAGAUCCAGUGUUGCUGUGGCCAUGGCGCAGCUGUGGCGAGCAGCUGCAGCUCCAAUUCAACCCCUAGCCCGGGAACUUACAUAUGCCGUUCAUGCCCUAAAAAGCAAAAAACAAAACCUUAUAGAAGUCUUUUACAUAGACUCCUUUAUCAUUUUAGCCUCACUUCAAUUAAACCAUAAUAGUUGAUUGAAAGUUAAUGUAUAUAGGAAGAAUCUUCAAUGUCACUGAAGUUGUUUGUUUGUUUUUUUUUUUUUUUUUGCCUUUUCUAGGGCAGCACCUGCGGCAUAUAGAGGUUCCCAGGCUAGGGGUCGAAUCAGAACUGUAGCCACCGCCUACACCAGAGCCACAGCAACGCCAGAUCCGAGCCGCGUCUGCGACCUGCACCACAGCUCACAGCAACACUGGAUCCUUAACCCACUGAGCAAGGCCAGGGAUCGAAACCGCAACCUCUUGGUUCCCAGUCGGAUUCGUCUUCACUGCACCACAACGGGAACCCUGCAUUGAUUUUACAUUUAAUAGAGAAAUGUAAAACAUACAUUUAAAGGACAGAAACCUUUACACUGAUAUUUAUUUUGCAUGUUAUUACUUUAAUUUAAUCUUUAUUUAGUGCUUUAUUUUUGUGAAAUCUGGUUUGCUAGGCACUGUGGGAGAGGUAGCCACGAAUUUCUUGCUCUUUAGGGACUCAGUUUCCGUGCUAACUCUUAGAGCAGGAAGAGAUUGAAGAGAUUCUUCUUUUAGGGGUGUCUGUGUGCUUAAGCAGCAGUCCAUUGAAUCCAGCCCACUUCAGUGUCUCCUGUCCCCAGCUCCCCAUCCUCCCAGACAUGUCACCAUAUCACUUCUAUGCAGGGUAGAGAGAAACUCACCUCCUUUGGUAAGCGGGAGGAGAUACUGACCCUUUUCUUUUUUUUUUUCCCCAGGUCAGUUUCCUAGUUCAGGUAUUUAAAACUCUGAAGUCAAGAAAUCAUUAUAGUGGGUAGUGACUAGAAUGUAACACUUCUUAAAAAUAGGUAGGAGAGUAUCAAAGUGUAUUGCAGAUUAUUUCAAAUGUAUCAUGUGGCUGUGUAUAUACUGGGUUGUUACAUAAAAUGUAUUAUAAGUUCACUUAUGUAAAAUCUUUUUUUUUUUCACUGCAGUGAAAAGAGUUUAGAAAACAUUCCUCUUAGUCUGUCCUUUUCAUCCUUGCUUUAAACUGGGGAACGGCCACUGAUCCCCUGAUCCCUAAGUUACUUGUUAUUUUUGCUGGGCUCUCUUGUCAUCAUGACCUGACUCCAAGAUAAAGUGUUUUCUACAUGGUUAGAAAUAUACACAGGUGAUAUUUUCCCAUGGUGAUGUGCAUUCUGGGAGGGUUUUCAUUACACUGGUCUUGCUGGCAUGCCUCUGGGUACAGAUAAACACUUUGGUGGAUCUAACUGUUAAAUCUGUAAGUAUUAUUUCUGAUGUGCCUAACUGGGUACCAAGAUGUGAUUUAAGCACCAAGAGAAUUUGGAUUAUUUAAAACUAGGGCAUAAUAAAACUACUUAUCGCAUAUUCAUGUGGGCACAUACAGAGGCAUAAUUGUAUUCUUGUGACUCACCAUAUAAAUACUAAUAUUGUUUUGGAGAAUCGGCAUGGUAUGCUGAAGCCAUGGUUUGGAGAAAAGCAUUGUAGUAUGUUUUUAUCUGUGGGAAUUACUGGCAAGUGUAAUUGAGAGCUUCUAAAUACUGUAGUUGUUUACCCUGCUUUUGAAUUGGGCUUAAAUAUUUUUGGUCUUGUUAUUUUUAAAAAUAAUCAUUGAAUUAUCACGGUAGCUGUUUAACCAUAGUUGUAUUAUAGAUUUUAAUAAUGACGUCUUUUAAAUAUUUAUGUAGACAUUUCCUCCUGCUAAAGAUACUUAAUAUUUGUAUUUAUGGAGAAAUCUAUUUGAAUAAAUAUAUAUUCAUAGAUUAUAUAAAUAUUAUAUGUUUAAAUUUAAUAUUUAAAUAUUUAAUGAUAAAUAUUUAAACAGAGAGAAUAGAGGAACGAAUGUUCACAUGGCCAUGCUUAGCUUCAGUACUGAUCAACUCUUUGUUAUUCCUACCCUUUCUGUUUCCCUGGUUCCCACUUAUUUUGAUGCAGUUCCUCUGUCAUAACACAUCAUCUAUAAAUAUUUCAGGAUGCAUUUCUGAUAGACAAGGACUCCCAUUUCUAGACAUAAAAGGUAGAAUCUUGGAUUUCCCUGAUGGUGCACCGGGUUAAGGAUCUGUGUUGCUACUACUGUGGCCUGGGAACUUCUGAAUGCUGUGGGCACCACCCCAAAAAAAAAAAAAAGUGGAAUCUUUUUGAGAAAUGUACUGAAGUUAUGAACACUCAAAUUGUGCUUGGGAUGUUAGAGUGAUGGAAAGAAAAAGUGAGGUCUUUUACGUAGAAUAAAUGGAAGAAGAGAAAUGCCUGAUAAGCAGUUGUACCGAAAAACAACAGAAAAGUUACAGUGAAAAAGCUUUAGCUUUUAAAUACCCAUGGCAAAAAGGGAGAAAUUGGCAUUUUUGUUGAAUGCUUGAUGUAUGUUUACUUUCUAUAUAGUUCAGUAAGGAGUAAGGUCAAAUAUAUAUGUGUAUAUAAUCUGUAUCUGAGCUGCAGCUGUUGGCUUAUGCCAGAGCCACAGCAAUGCCAGAUCCAAGCUGUGUCUGAGACUUACACCCACUGAGUGAGGCCGGGGAUCGAAUCCACAUCCUCAUGGAUCCUGGUCAGGUUUGUUUCUGCUGAGUCACAAUUGGAAUUCCAGGCCAAGUAUGUUUCAUGUCAUUUGAAAUAGAAAUACUGUUUCUAGACUCUGAAAAAUCAAAGAUGUGUGCAAAGACUGCCAAUCAGGAUAUUCACUGCAAUAUUCUUUAUAGAGUGAAGAAUUGUACUUAAUUAGCAUUAGCUACCAGUGGAAUAAUGAAAUGCACAUAGUACAUUUAUAAAAUAGUGAAAUAUUUUGUAACUGGUAGAAAUGGUCAAGCAUGUAUAAACAUCAAACGCAUAUUAAAAGACCUGUAAGAAAUUAAUCUAGAUAUUAACAUGAAUUAAUAGUGGCAAUUUUUAGGUGUUAGAAUUAUGAGUGAUUUUUACUUCUUUUUUUUUUGAAACACUGCAAUUUCGUUUUAUUAGCCUAUGUGAUAUGAGUUAGUAAACAUUUGAGUGCUUACCAUGUGUCAAAUACUAUUUAAGUACUUUUCAUGUUGUUAUUGUUGUUGUGUUUUUAAUUCUCAUAGUAGCCCUGAGAGGUUCUGUUCUUAUUUUACAGAUGAGGAAAUGGGCACAGAGAGAUUGAAUACCUUGGCAAUUUGAGUCUAUUCUUCUAAGUUUAUUCUUUGCUUCUAAAUGCAGUUUUAUCUCCAAUAAUUGGGAAGAUACUAUAAAUACCAUUUUCUGUUUCUACUUCUUACUUAAAAACAUAUGGUGAAUAUUAUGGCAUAUUAGUAAAAAAAAAAAAA
ensembl:lncRNA